CAAGUCGGACGGGAUUGGGGAGCUUGCUCCCCAUGAGAGUGGCGCACGGGUGCGUAACACGUAUGUAACCUACCUUAAUCUGGGGGAUAGCCUCUCGAAAGAGAGAUUAACACCGCAUAACAUGUUUUAACAGCAUUGUUGAAACAUCAAAUAUUUAUAGGAUUAAGAUGGGCAUGCGGAACAUUAGCUAGUUGGUAAGGUAAUGGCUUACCAAGGCUACGAUGUUUAGGGGAUCUGAGAGGAUGACCCCCCACACUGGUACUGAGACACGGACCAGACUCCUACGGGAGGCAGCAGUAAGGAAUAUUGGUCAAUGGGCGCAAGCCUGAACCAGCCAUGCCGCGUGCAGGAAGACGGCCCUACGGGUUGUAAACUGCUUUUAUACCGGAAUAAACCUUGAUACGUGUAUCGAGCUGAAUGUACGGUAAGAAUAAGGAUCGGCUAACUCCGUGCCAGCAGCCGCGGUAAUACGGAGGAUCCAAGCGUUAUCCGGAUUUAUUGGGUUUAAAGGGUGCGUAGGUGGCCUGUUAAGUCAGGGGUGAAAGACGGUAGCUUAACUAUCGCAGUGCCUUUGAUACUGACGGGCUUGAAUACACUAGAGGUAGGCGGAAUGUGACAAGUAGCGGUGAAAUGCAUAGAUAUGUCACAGAACACCAAUUGCGAAGGCAGCUUACUAUGGUGUCAUUGACACUGAGGCACGAAAGCGUGGGGAUCAAACAGGAUUAGAUACCCUGGUAGUCCACGCCCUAAACGAUGAAUACUCGAUGUUGGCGAUAUACGGUCAGCGUCUAAGCGAAAGCGUUAAGUAUUCCACCUGGGGAGUACGCCCGCAAGGGUGAAACUCAAAGGAAUUGACGGGGGCCCGCACAAGCGGAGGAGCAUGUGGUUUAAUUCGAUGAUACGCGAGGAACCUUACCCGGGCU
rnacentral:rRNA from 1 species